GACGAACGCUGGCGGCGUGCUUAACACAUGCAAGUCGAACGAAGUGGCGAACGGGUGAGUAACGCGUAAUCAACCUGCCCUUCAGUGGGGGACAACAGUUGGAAACGCCUGCUAAUACCGCAUACUUACGGAGGGGUUGCGGUCUGAUUCGCUAGUUGGAGGGGUAACGGCCCACCAAGGCGAUGCUGAGUAGCCGGUCUGAGAGGAUUAACGGCCACAUUGGGACUGAGACACGGCCCAGACUCCUACGGGGGGCAGCAGUGGGGGAUCUUCCGGAAUGGACGGAAGUCUGACGGAGCAACGCCGCGUGAGUGAUGACGGCCUUCGGGUUGUAAAGCUCUGUUAAUCGGGACGCGGUACCGGAAUAGAAAGCCACGGCUAACUACGUGCCAGCAGCCGCGGUAAUUC
rnacentral:rRNA from 1 species